ACUAUUUAAAAUAGAUUAUAUUUAUUCUCCGUUUAAAUUUUUUAACAAAUAUGUCCCCACCGUUAUACAUUAGGGCCAUAUAUAUCGCUCAGCCGUUAAAAUUGUUUCCAGAUUUUUUUAACACGUGGCAAUAAACCAUUGGAUCAGAUAACCCACCCAUUCGAUUAAUUAAACCCGCCCAAUCCGAUGUAUUAAACCCUCCCCGACCCCAGCUUAUUAUGUGCAGCCCGCUUUACCCAAAAAUCAAGCUCUUUGCACUCCUUCAACAUAGUUUCCGCAAGUCGACGCAAGUCACUUUCACAAAAUCUCCGGCUAUCAUAAAGAAGAAAUGACAAAAUGCGAACUUGAACUGCAUUUGGUAGAGUCUGUAUCCACAUAACCCUGCCAACACAAACACCAAUUUAUCUUUGUUCAAUUCACAUUAAGUUAAACUGGUAAACAAUUAAACUUCAAUUUUAACCUCCAAAAGUAAAAUUAAGUAAAGAUAAGCCAAUACAAUUCUAAACUUACCGUUUUGCGAGAGAUGGAGAAGUUCAAUUACAGAUAAUCCAAUACAAUUACAAAAUUACCGUUUUGUGAGGGAUGGGGAAGAUGAAUCGGUGAUGAUAAUAUCGGUAGGUUUGGUGAGGAGUAAAAGGAAGGAGGUUGUUGAAGUGGUGGUGGAGCCAGAUUGGUUGAAAGACUGUUGUAACCAUAGAGAUGCUUCAGUUUCAGGACAAGGGGAAUUCAAGAUUAUCUGAAAUAAUGGUAGCCAACAUUCCAUUUGCUGAAAAAACAGUCGCACACACGGAGAUUUUUUCUUUUUAAUUUUCUCUGUGCUAAUAUUCUUGAUAACGUGAAAAACCCCUCAUCUUCUAAAGGAGCUCAUACACAAUGCGGGAAUAAGUUUUAAACUCGUUGAAACGCCAGUUCUAAUAUUCUAGUAUAUUUAUAGAUUGAUCUUUUUUACUUCUAUUAUAGUUAAAACACAAACGGUCGGGCGGGUUUCAUACGUUGGGUCGGGCGGGUUUAAUUAAUCGAAUGGGCCGGUCAUCUGUCCAAUCAGAACAUGUCAUGUGUUAAAAAGAAAUCUGGAAGCAAGUUUUAACGGCUGAGGGAUAUAUAUGACCCUAAUGUAUAACGGUGUGGACAUAUUUGAUAAAAUAUUCAAAUGGAGGAUAAAUAUAGCAUAUUUUUAAUAGUACAAGAAUAUAUUUGAGCCUUAACCGUUUAAGUUUUCCAAGUGAAAGGCAUCCUAGUUAGAUAUGCAGGUUAUGCCAGUACUAAAUCAAAUAUUAGAAAAGCACUAACAAAACCUGCCUUCUUAUCUUCUUCACCUCGUCCUGACAAAGUCCAGAUAAGUAGCAUCGCUAUCAUUCAAAAAAUUUUGGUUUACGAGUAACCAAAUCAAGAAGAAAUGUCUGUUAGAGGUAUUCAUAAAAAUCCGAAAAAUCGAAUCAAAUUAAAAUCGCCUAAAGAAUCGAUAUUUUUUUGGUUUGAUUGGUUUGGU
rnacentral:lncRNA from 1 species